UUGAAAUGUAGUGUUGAAAAAAAAUGACAUAAUUCUAUCUGCUAUAUUUAUAAUUUAAUUAUAUUUAAAUUAAGUCAUUUACCUGUAAAAAUCAGAGACGUCUACUGCACUACAUUGCCUAGGCUAUGUAUUAAUAUUCAACUUCUACGUCUGUCCGAAACAUGCCAAAGUUGUAGGUGGUGUGGCACUGUGAAGAAAAUAAAAACUCUGAGUUGGUCACAGAAAGAGCGCAGGUUUGAGAAGUUGAUCCACAGGACCGUCCCUAUUCUCUUUCCAGCGGGAGCUUUUGAACUGCUCCAUAAAUCUCAGAGCCAGAGAACAAAGGUGAUCACAGUAGGGGUUCAAGUGCAGACUCACCUUUAUUGGCCGGACAGCGGCGCUAUAGCGAUCAAAGAUGAACAGCACUAUGAGGGCUCAUUAGUCAGCACAGACAGGAAGUCGCCCCCAUCCUCAGCUAAUAACUAAGAUUUGUUCAAGCAGCUGGAGAGAUUUU